GCGAAUGGCUCAUUAAAUCAGCUAUGGUUUAUUGGAUCAUACCCGUUAAAUGGAUAACUGUAAUAACUCUAGAGCUAAUACAUGCCACGAAGCCCUGACCCGCGAGGGAAUGGGUGCACUUAUUAGAUCAGAAGCCAACCGUGUGCGGUCGUAAGGCUGUUGCACGUUGUCGUUCUGGUGACUCUGGAUAAUUGUUACAGAUCGCAGUCGGCCUUGAGUCGGCGACGGGUCCUUCAAAUGUCUGCCCUAUCAACUUUCGAUGGUAGGUGACCUGCCUACCAUGGUGAUAACGGGUAACGGGGAAUCAGGGUUCGAUUCCGGAGAGGGAGCCUGAGAAACGGCUACCACUUCCAAGGGAGGCAGCAGGCGCGCAAAUUACCCACUCCCAGUACGGGGAGGUGGUGACGAAAAAUACCGAUGCGGGACUCCGAAAAGAGGCUCCGUAAUCGGAAUGAGUGAACUCUAAAUCCUUUCACGAGGAUCAAUUGGAGGGCAAGUCUGGUGCCAGCAGCCGCGGUAACUCCAGCUCCAAUAGCGUAUAUUAAAGUUGCUGCAGUUAAAAAGCUCGUAGUUGGAUCUCGGUAUCACUGUUGCCUGUCAGUCUUUGAGCGGUAUUCACGGUUGGUCGGUGCAUAGGCGUAAAGUUUGUGUUACUGAUUGCCGGCUGUCUCAAACUGGCAGUGGUAGCGGUGUCACCUUUCAGCCAUGUCUGUGGUGAAAUACCCACAGGUGUAGGCGUGUGUCAGGCGGUGCUUGGCUUCGGUCAGGUCCGUCGGCUCGUCUGCAUGCCUUUGGAUGCCCUUCAUCGGGUGUGCAUGGGCGGAUGGCACGUUUACUUUGAACAAAUUUGAGUGCUCAAACCAGGCCGAUGUUGCCUGAAAAGUUUUGCAUGGAAUAAUGGAAUAGGACUUCGGUUCUAUUUCGUUGGUUUUCGGAUCCGAAGUAAUGAUCAAAAGAGACAGGCGGGGACGUUUGUAUGGCUGCGCUAGAGGUGAAAUUCAUGGACCGUAGCCAGACAAACUAAAGCGAAAGCAUUCGUCAAGCAUGUUUUCAUUGACCAUGAGCGAAAGUCAGAGGCUCGAAGACGAUCAGAUACCGUCCUAGUUCUGACCAUAAACGAUGCCAACUGACGAUCCGUGGUGGUAGUCUUACCCUUCCCCACGGGCAGUCUCCGGGAAACCUUUAAGUCUUUGGGUUCCGGGGGAAGUAUGGUUGCAAAGCUGAAACUUAAAGGAAUUGACGGAAGGGCACCACCAGGAGUGGAGCCUGCGGCUUAAUUUGACUCAACACGGGAAAACUCACCCGGCCCGGACACUGUGAGGAUUGACAGAUUGAUAGCUCUUUCUUGAUUUGGUGGUUGGUGGUGCAUGGCCGUUCUUAGUUGGUGGAGCGAUUUGUCUGGUUAAUUCCGAUAACGAACGAGACUCUAGCCUGCUAAUUAGUGCAGUCGUCAACUGUUCCUGUGUCGGCGGCGUUUGGCGAAGCUGUUCUAUAAAACUGGUUUUGGUUGUGGGUUGAUCUGUGGGGCCUCGUGUUCUGUGGGUUGGCUUGCGCCUUUAUUGGUUGGAAUGGCCGGUCCUGCGUUAGCCACUGGGUACGGCGCGGUUGUUUACUUCUUAGAGGGACAAGCGGGAGAAGCCGCACGAAAUUGAGCAAUAACAGGUCUGUGAUGCCCUUAGAUGUCCGGGGCCGCACGCGCGCUACAAUGACGGUACCAACGAGUCUGAUCUUCUGGCCCGAAAGGGUUGGGUAAACUGGUCAAUUACCGUCAUGACAGGGAUCGGGGCUUGGAAUUGUUCCCCGUGAACGAGGAAUUCCUAGUAAGUGCAAGUCAUAAGCUUGCGCUGAUUACGUCCCUGCCCUUUGUACACACCGCCCGUCGCUACUACCGAUUGAAUGGUUUAGUAAGGUCCUUGGAUUGGCGCCAUUGUGGUGACUGCCGAAAGGUAGUAACCCGACAGGUGCUGAGAAGACGACCAAACUUGAUCAUUUAGAGGAAGUAAAAGUCGUAACAAG
rnacentral:rRNA from 1 species